rnacentral:rRNA from 1 species
AUUGAACGCUGGCGGCAGGCCUAACACAUGCAAGUCGAACGAGUGGCGGACGGGUGAGUCAUGUCUGGGAAACUGCCAGAUGGAGGGGGAUAACUACUGGAAACGGUAGCUAAUACCGCAUACCAUCAGAUGUGCCCAGAGUGGAUUCGCUAGUGGGUGGGGUAACGGCUCACCAAGGCGACGAUCCCUAGCUGGUCUGAGAGGAUGACCGGCCACACUGGAACUGAGACACGGUCCAGACUCCUACGGGAGGCAGCAGUGGGGAAUAUUGCACAAUGGGCGCAAGCCUGAUGCAGCCAUGCCGCGUGUAUGAAGAAGGCCUUCGGGUUGUAAAGUACUUUCAGCGGGGAGGCGUUACCCGCAGAAGAAGCACCGGCUAACUCCGUGCCAGCAGCCGCGGUAAUUC